AGCACAUAUACAUUUAAGUACAUGAAAAAUACACAUAAUCUUUUUGAGACCAUCUAUGUGGUUUGGCAUAGGAAAUUCUCCAUGAGGAGACUCCCUUCAACAGGGCAGGCUUCUGCCAGUCCUUCAAUUUAUGGUCCUGGAGAAUUGCCAGAAGCAGUAAAAGGAUGGAGGGACUUGCUCACUAAUCACUUAGCCAAGAGGCAGGACUUGAACUCAAGACAAACUGACUCCAAGUCUGGAUCUCGACCUCUGAUGCAUCAUUGGCUGCCAUGGCAAACAUUUGCCAAAGGAAGCGCCAGGGAUGCCCAUUCAGCUCAUGCAACUCUUGACAAUGCUCUGAUGCUCCAAGAGAUCGAUAAUCUUGUCGAUAAGAGUAUUAUCUACCAUCAUAUUACACAGAAACUGACCCACCCCAAUCUAAGCAAGUAAAAUAGAAAAAGAUUGCAACCAAACAGAGCAUCAAGUCGAGUCGAUAAGCAUUUAUGCACCUACUAUGUUCCAGGCACUGUGUUAAGUGCUCAUGCUACAAAGAAAGGCAAAAAAACAGACCCUGAUUUAAAGGGGCCCACAAUCUGGUGGGGGGAAACAACAUGCAAAUGAUUAUGUACAAAUAAGACACCUACAGGAACAAUGGAGGUCGUUUCAGAGGGAAGACACUAGUUUUAAGGAGAAUCAGGAAAGUCUUCUGGCAGAAAGUGAGAUUCUAAAUGGAGACUUGAAGGAAUUCAAGGCUGUGAGAAGAUUAAAUCUAAUAGAUAAUUACCCCAUGUUGAGCCAUGGUUUGCUGAGCUCACCUGAGUCUCUUUGACAUACACAUGAAGUCCUCCCUCAUGCACAAAUCUGAGCCAUACAACUCCAAAUGACUGGGUAAGAAACCCUUGUAGACUAGGUGCUGAAUUUUAGUUGAGAGAGC
rnacentral:lncRNA from 1 species